AUGAAGAUGAAUAAACCAUUGCUAGUGCAGACACGAAAUAGCGCACUUUUAAUACACGAAAUAGAAGACUCUGAAUGCUCUCUCGUUGUGUGAGACAUUUCCACAUAAAGUUGGUUCCCAAUUGUAUUUAUGGCAUCUAGAGCCAUUGGGAGAGUGCGAGAGUCCUACUCCUAUGGCAGCCAUUUCACUAUCUGUCAAUAACUUUUACGGUUGAACAAGGGACAUUAUCCCCUAUGGAGAGAACAAGUCGUGGCCUUGGCUGAGAGCCAAGAUCUCAUGAACCACCUCACCAAUUAUGUUCCUCCACCCCAAUAUGAGUCCUCCACCGAUUACUUAACAACAAUCAACCACAAAGAAAUCAACCCCACUUACCCGCAAUGGCGGAAUGAGGAUCGAUUGCAUUGGGGUUGGAUCAUCGGUACACUAUCUGAGGAAUCAUUCAGCUUAGUUGUAGGGCUUGAAACUUCCUACCAAGUUUGGCAUGCUCUUCAAGAUACCUAUGCUCAGGAGUCCCAAGAAAGAGAAUUUCAACUUACUCAGCAACUCACCUACAUGCGGAAGGAGGCGUCGGUUUCGCUACAUGAUCAUCUUAGAAAUUUCGAAACCGUAUGUGAUAAUCUAGCUGCAAUUGAUCACCCGGUGAGUGACAAAUUGAAGGUGUUCGCCCUUCUCAAUGGCCUCGGACCGAAGUACGAACCCUUCACCACCACCAUGCUCAAGCCGCCAAUGCCCUCUUAUGCUGAGGUUGUGCCGCUGCUACAGGGGUUUGAGACACAAACCCAACUUCAUGAGACCUACAACGCACAAAGUUACGUGUUUUAUGGUCAAAACCCAAGGAAUGGAAAUUCUAAACCGAAGUACUUCUCUAAGUUCUCUUCCCGCGGACAUGGCUUCUCCCAAGCCAAUCAUGUGUCACACCCAAAUCCCUCUACUAGUGGGACACAACACACCUCUGCCCCAAAUAAUGUACGUGACUCUUCUCUAGAAAAUACUCGCAUGGAGACUUGUCAAAUUUGCGGAAAAAAUGGGCAUAUUGCGUUAAAGUGCUGGCACCGGUUUGAUCACGCUCUUAAGCCCGAUGACAUUCCUCAAGCAUUGGCUACCAUGAAACUUGAAAAUGGCACUCAUGAUGCUGAGUGAUUGUACCACACUUGAAAAUGGGAUACUCAGGUAGCUCUGAAAUUCGAGCAUAGAAAGAGUAAAGGCAGCAACUAUGGUCCACCAUAUGAGUGGAAAGUGUACAACACUCUUGGUGGUAGUCAUGGACUGCCAAAAGUAUACUAUAAAUGGAGGCAAGGAGACUAUUAUGUUAUGGUUAUGGACAUGCUAGGUCCCAGCUUGUGGGAUGUUUGGAAUACUACAAGGCAGGCGUGAAUGUCCCAUGCUUGUAUCUUUCUUUACCUCCUAUAGUGUCAUAAUUUUUAUUGUUCUACUGUCCUGUGUUGUCUUGAAAUCUUAAACUUGAGUUUGUUAUAGAUGGCUAUUGUGGGCUUGGUUGGAGGAAAAGCUCAAUUAAGUUAUUUAAAGGAAAGACUUUUAAACUUUAGUAGACUAAGUAUCAUGCCUUCAAAGUCCCAGGUUUAUAAUAUUUGAAAGUACACGUAGCUUUGGGUCUGACUUCAAAAGAAAAUAAGGGGAAAAAAGGAUGUAAUUAUGCAGAAAAAAGAGUCUUUAAAAGUAGGAAUCGUUGGUAUCCACAACUCUGAUCUACCAAAACUCCUGAUUUUAUACCUUAAAACAAUUAAAGAACAUCUGUCAAAUUAGCACGAUUCAAAUUAUACUGCAAAAACCCGUGAUUUAAAUUCCACUGCUUAUAUGCUCUAUUGGCGAAGAAUGCUGCAGCCAGCCACAAGGUGUUUCACGAAAAUAUAUGACUUUGAACUUUUUUGAUUAGUAAACAAAGAGUUUUAUUGAUGAUAUAGGUAGACACAGCCCUAGUACACAAGACGUAUACAAGAGUGGCAACCAAGCAUAUGAGUGUCCGGCCAGUGAUACAACUAGGAACUAAAGAUCACCACGACCUUUAUAGGCUAACACUAUAAUGAAGUAGCAAAGAGCGAUUUGUACUCUUCUUUUAACUGUAUUUUCUUCCUGGUUUCUGAAAAAAACAAAAAUGUGGUUAAUAGUGGUGAUAUUUUCAGUUUAAGAUUAUAGUUUGGAGCUUGUACAGGCUUGUUGUUAGGACCCUGUAGUAAAUGACCGUUGUAAAUGCUACUGUGAAUUGGAAUGAUGCUGUUGUGACAAUGGAAUGUAAACAGGAAGUGAAAUGGAUUACAAAUGAAUGUUGUAUGAAGAAGGAAUGGGAAUGCACGGGAAGUGUUUGAUAGAAAGCUCAAAAGAGCCACUGAUUCAGAGCUACGGGUUCUUCGAGGGACCCAACCUCCAUUACAGAAAAGAUCAAUAACCAAAUAUUCCAAAAUGAAUCUCCCUCCCCACAGUCCCUUCUCAUAUGCUCAUGCAGAAUAACAAACCAUACAAAUAAAAGGCUGACACGUAUACGUAUAGUAACUAACUAUUACAAGGAGACAAAAUACAAUAAUAAGCUAAAAUUCUCUCAUGAUGCCAAACGAUGCGUAUAGCACCGAUUAUUGAAGCUGUGUGUUUAAUCUCAUUUCUCCAAAUGGUGCGCUGCAUCAGGUUCCUAACACUUGUUUUAUGGAUUCUCUUUGAAAAUCAAGAAAUCUUGUAUUCAGGUGGUUGUCAUCUUAAAUAAUCGUUGCCAGACAAUCAAUAUAAAAAUGUCCUAUGCCAUUUUGGUUAUAAAAUAUUUAGCAUCCUACUUUUGUUGAUGUAAUCCUUUUUGAGAAGUAAUAUAAAUUUGAUAAAAAAAUGCAAAAGACUCAAUCCAAGUACACAGACGUAAACAAGAAAGACACUUGUCUAGCUAGUUGAUCUUCAACUGUUAAUCUUGAACUGUUAUAAAAUUGCAAUUUUUUUCUAUAUAUCUUGAAAAAGUGAAAUGAUGAUCCACCAUUCAUUCCUGCCUACACCCACCCAUAUAAAAAGGAGGGGUGGGGGUGAUGGAAAUCUUGUCCACGCUUUUUUAGGGUGCACCUGUGAUAGGCAAAGAUCUCAACAUAUUUUAGCUUGUACAAAUGAAGAUAAUUUGGUCAAUUCGUUUUGGGGAAUAUUUUAUGUUUGGUUUUUCACCUUAUUUACAUUUUUCCUUAUUUUUUUUCUUUGUAAUUUGUGUUUGUGGGCUAAGACUCGUGUACUGAAUGAUGAUAAUUUUCUGAUUUGUAUUAGCCUUCUUUUUUCUGCUUUCUAGAGUGUAAUAGGUAUUUCCUUUGUAUACGUCCUGUGUACUUGAGCUUUGCCUAUUCUUGGUAAUAAAAUUUCUUAUUAAUUAUAUAAAAAAAAAUACAUUUGUUUGUGUUCACCUACACACUUGAGCUUGUGUUUUCUGGGUGUCUUAUUUUAGUUUCUUUUGUUUUUCUGGCCACAAUUACUAGAGUAAGCUACUUCAAUUUUGAUUGUUGUUAAAUGCAUCUCUUGAACAUGAAUUUUGUUUAGAGUGUAAUAUUGUUUUUCUUUAUUUUAGAAGUAUAUGUUAUUGGUCUAACAAUGUUUCUUCUUCCUCUCUUCAUUCCUUGUCUGCCAAAAUGUAUGCCUUGUUUCUAAAUCUUUCACACAAUGAUAUAUACACACUGGAUGUCCUCAGAAAUGGUUGCUUGUAUAGCAGUUGAGUCCUUAUCAAUUCAAGAGAAGAUGCAUGCAAGAGGUUAUGUCCAUGGUGAUGUCCUCAGAAAUGGUUGCUUGUAUAGCAGUUGAGUCCUUAUCAAUUCUAGAGAAGAUGCAUGCAAGAGGGUAUGCGAUUGUAGUAGUUUUUCUCGACUUUGUAAGGUUUGGUGGCCGCUUUUGUAUUUUAAAAAAAAAUUAUGUUGGCAAUGUUGCAUCAAAUAGCUUUGUUUGAUGGUCAUUUUAUUGUGAAAUAUUGAAUCUCCAUAAUUAGUAAUCAUGUAUCUGUUUGAUACUAGUUAUGCCCAUGGUGAUGUCAAGCCCGAGAACUUUUUACAUGAGUCUUGGGCAGCCAUCUUCACCACAAGAGAAGAAUUUGUUUCUUGUUGACCUUGGUUUAGGCGAGUAAAUUUCAUGUAAUUAUUACACACUCAAAUUAACUUAUUCUACAUAUUUUAUUACGUUGUUAUUAUCAAUUCGUGAUUGCAGUAGCAAAGUGGAGAGAUAGCUCUAAUUGACAACAUGUUGAAUAUGAUCAAUGUCCUGAUAUGUUUAGAGGAACCGUUCGAUAUGCUAGUGUUCACGCUCACCUGGGAAGAACUGCUAGUAGAAGAGAUGAUCUUGAGUUUCUUGCAUAUACGCUCAUCUUUCUCCAUCGAGGCAGGAUGCCUUGGCAAGGCUCUCAGGGGUGGCUUGAGAACAAACACACUGAGAUAUUGUGGAAAGCAAUGGAGAAGUUUUGAGGAUACCCAAUGCAACAUCGAAGACCUCCGGGCUGUUCUUUUUAUCAAUCUACUAUUUGAUGGCAGCCAAACUUUGUCUCUCUAGCUUUACUCUCUAUGUUCUUCUCUCUCUAUCUCACUAGGUGUAUUUUUUGGAUAACUUCAUGUACUUCAAUUAUGCCGUCCGCUCUUUUCUUGGUCAUUAAUGAAAUAAUCUUACAAAAAAUAGUAUUAGUGUGGUUGAAAAAAGGACUUAAGUCUAACAAUUACAAUA